CAAUAGCGUAUAUUUAAGUUGUUGCAGUUAAAAAGCUCGUAGUUGGAUUUCGGAUGGGACUUGCCGGUCCGUCGUUUCGAUGUGCACUGGCCAGUCCUAUCUUGUUGUCGGGGACUAGCUCCUGGGCUUCACUGUCCGGGACUAGGAGCUGACGAGGUUACUUUGAGUAAAUUAGAGUGUUCAAAGCAAGCCUACGCUCUGAAUAUAAUAGCAUGGGAUAACACGACAGGACUCUGGCCUAUCGUGUUGGUCUAUAGGACCAGAGUAAUGAUUAAGAGGGACAGUCGGGGGCAUUCGUAUUCCGUUGUCAGAGGUGAAAUUCUUGGAUUUACGGAAGACGAACAUCUGCGAAAGCAUUUGCCAAGGAUGUUUUCAUUGA
rnacentral:rRNA from 1 species